CAAUAAGAGUGUUUAUGGCACUCUUUCAAAAAAUCCAUACCCACCUUGUGUGCAAUGUAAAAAAAAAAGGAGUUUUUCUGGUGGUUUGGGAGUGAGAGUUGUUUUACAACGCUCAUUUUUUUUCCUCAAGAGACACUUUUUUUUUCAUUUCAUUAUACACCUUUCUAUAAGUUUCCUAUUGUCUGAAGUACUUGGAAUAAAUAUAAUUCUAAAAUA
rnacentral:misc_RNA from 1 species